rnacentral:rRNA from 1 species
UACGUAGGGUCCGAGCGUUGUCCGGAUUUAUUGGGCGUAAAGAGCUCGUAGGCGGUUCCGUAAGUCGGAUGUGAAAACUCGGGGCUCAACCCCGAGACGCCAUCCGAUACUGCGGUGACUUGAGUCUGGUAGGGGAACACGGAAUUCCUGGUGUAGCGGUGAAAUGCGCAGAUAUCAGGAGGAACACCAAUGGCGAAGGCAGCUCGCUGGGACGUUACUGACGCUGAGACGCGAAAGCGUGGGGAGCAAGCAGG